CGGAGUGUAGCUCAGUUUGGCAGAGCGCUGCCUUCGGGAGGCAGAGGCCGCCGGUUCAAAUCCGGCCACUCCGACCA
rnacentral:tRNA from 1 species